rnacentral:rRNA from 1 species
UACAUAGGGUGCAAGCGUUGUCCGGAAUCAUUGGGCGUAAAGAGCGUGUAGGCGGCCCGAUAAGUCCGCUGUGAAAGUCCAGGGCUCAACCCUGGAAUGCCGGUGGAUACUGUCGGGCUAGAGUCCGGAAGGGGCGAGUGGAAUUCCUGGUGUAGCGGUGAAAUGCGCAGAUAUCAGGAGGAACACCAAUGGCGAAGGCAGCUCGCUGGGACGGUACUGACGCUGAGACGCGAAAGCGUGGGGAGCAAACAGG